rnacentral:rRNA from 1 species
GGCCUAACACAUGCAAGUCGAGGGGCAGCGGGAAAAAGCUUGCUUUUUUGCCGGCGACCGGCGCACGGGUGCGGAACGCGUAUGGAACCUGCCCCUGUCAGGGGAAUAGCCCAGGGAAACUUGGAUUAAUGCCCCAUGGUACCGUUACAUCGCAUGAUGUUUCGGUUAAAGAUUUAUCGGACAGGGAUGGCCAUGCGUACCAUUAGUUAGUUGGCGGGGUAACGGCCCACCAAGGCAGCGAUGGUUAGGGGCCCUGAGAGGGGGAUCCCCCACACUGGUACUGAGACACGGACCAGACUCCUACGGGAGGCAGCAG